AGCGCAGGCGGGUUGGCAAGUCAUUGGUGAAAUCCUGAGGCUUAACCUCAGGACUGCCAAUGAUACUGCCGAUCUUGAGUGCAGAAGAGGAAGACGGAAUUCCUGGUGUAGCGGUGAAAUGCGUAGAUAUCAGGAAGAACACCGGUGGCGAAGGCGGUCUUCUGGUCUGUAACUGACGCUCAUGCUCGAAAGCGUGGGGAGCAAACAGGAUUAGAUACCCUGGUAGUCCACGCCCUAAACGAUGGAUACUCGAUGUCGGGUCGCAAGGCCCGGUGUCCAAGCUAACGCGUUAAGUAUCCCACCUGGGGAGUACGAUCGCAAGGUUGAA
rnacentral:rRNA from 1 species